rnacentral:tRNA from 1 species
ACUGGAUGGUGCAAAAGGUUAAUGUGCUCGGCUGCCAACCGAAAGGUUGGAGGUUCAAGUCCAUCCAGUG